UGUGAGUCUUAGCUUCUCUCUGCAUCUGUGAGGUCAUCUCCCUUUCUGUAGAGCAUAUGAUCUUUACUGAUGCACCUGCAUCUGGCUCAGACUUAGUCACCCAGCCCUGAAAUUAUAUCAUAUCACAGGUCAUUCUCUGAGUCUCUUAAUGUGAGGCCUUGAGAGAAAAAUCAACAUGCCUUCUGUUGGAUGAAGACCAAUCAGCAAGAUGGUGGUGAUUGUGUCCCCUUUUUAUAGAGUCGUUGCAAGGAUCAAGUGAGUUGAAAUCCGUAAGGUGCUUGGGAGAAUGCCUGGCGCCUGGAAGCACUGUAUAUUCCAAAAAAGGAGAUAUAAACAUGACCAUAAAAGACAUGAAAAGAUGUUUAACCCCAUUAGUCAUCGUGGAAAUGCAAAUGAAAACCACCAUACAGACACUAGAGUGGUUUAAAUUUGAAUGACUUCCAACACCAAAUGCCAGACAGGACAUAGAGCAACUGGAUGUCUCAUGCUCACAGGCAGAAGGGAAAACUACUGUGUGUGACAGGAAGAUGGACUUACCCAACCUUCAGCAUUCUCAAUCUCUUGUCUAUUAACAUGUGUUUGAAACAUUAUGCAUUCAAAGCAAACAUCUGGGAGGAAGAUGGGAGAAGCCUUCUUGCCCCUGUUCUACAGAAGUAAUUGAAGUUCAUGACAUUCAAGCUCAUUCACCAGUAAAUGAAUUUGGGUCAUGCUUUAUGUCUGUUGUAAAUACAGUGAAAAUUUGCCUCUGUUCCUGAAGCAUUUCUAAAUUGAACUUCCCUCACUUUUUGAAAAACCUAUACAACCCACACUCUCAGUAUUUGAGACACCAAGGAGUUGCUGC
rnacentral:lncRNA from 1 species